rnacentral:RNase_P_RNA from 1 species
GGGGGGGAGCACGUGGUCGCUCCGAUUACACAUCGGAGAGGAAAGUCCGGGCUCCUGAGGGCAGCGUAAUGGGUAAUACCCAUCUUCCGCUUUUGAUCUUUAAAGGAGUGAUCCUUUAAACGUUGCGGCGGGACGGAUUAGAGCCACAGAGACGAGUAGCAGUAGGAGGUUAUUCAACGCCUCCGGCUGCGAGAUGAAACGCGGCAAUCUCUACGCGGAGUAAGGUUCAAUAGGAGACAAGUGCUGCCCGGCACGCUAAAGUCUCGGGUUAACUGCUAGAGUCCCCGUGGCGACACGGGAUCUUAGAGAAAUGGCCACUAAUGGAUGCGGGAUAAUCGUAUCGACAACAGAACUCGGCUUAUGCUCCCUUUCCUUU